UACGUAGGUGACCAGCGUUGUCCGGAUUUACUGGGCGUAAAGAGCGCGCAGGCGGUCGUUCAAGUCGAGUGUGAAAGCCCCCGGCUCAACUGGGGAGGGUCACUCGAUACUGAUCGACUUGAAGGCAGGAGAGGGAAGCGGAAUUCCCGGUGUAGUGGUGAAAUGCGUAGAUAUCGGGAGGAACACCAGUGGCGAAGGCGGCUUCCUGGCCUGUUCUUCGACGCUGAGGCGCGAAAGCUAGGGGAGCAAACGGG
rnacentral:rRNA from 1 species